rnacentral:rRNA from 1 species
UACGUAGGGGGCAAGCGUUGUCCGGAUUUAUUGGGCGUAAAGAGCGUGUAGGCGGCCAGGCAGGUCCGUUGUGAAAACUGGAGGCUCAACCUCCAGACGUCGAUGGAAACCGCUUGGCUAGAGUCCGGAAGAGGAGAGUGGAAUUCCUGGUGUAGCGGUGAAAUGCGCAGAUAUCAGGAAGAACACCCGUGGCGAAAGCGGCUCUCUGGGGCGGUACUGACGCUGAGACGCGAAAGCGUGGGGAGCAAACAGG